GAUGAACGCUAGCGAUAGGCUUAACACAUGCAAGUCGAGGGGCAGCACAAGGUUGCUUGCUAUCUGGGUGGCGACCGGCGCAUGGGUGCGAAAUGCGUAUGCAACUUGCUCCAUACAGGUGGCUACCCCGUCGAAAGACGGACGAAUACUGCGUAUGCCUACAACUUGGUAUCAAUUGGUGAGGUUAGAAAUUCGGUGUAGGAUAGGCAUGCGUCCCAUUAGCUUGUUGGUGAGGUAACGGCUCAGUAAGGCAACGAUGGGUAGGGGAACUGAGAGGUGUAUCCCCCACACUGGUACUGAGACACGGACCAGACUCCUACGGGAGGCAGCAGUGAGGAAUAUUGGUCAAUGGGCGCGAGCCUGAACCAGCCAAGUCGCGUGAAGGAUGACUGUCUUAUGGAUUGUAAACUUCUUUUAUACGGGAAUAACAAGAGUCACGUGUGACUCCCUGCAUGUACCGUAUGAAUAAGCAUCGGCUAACUCCGUG
rnacentral:rRNA from 1 species